rnacentral:rRNA from 1 species
UACGUAGGGUGCAGGCGUUAAUCGGAAUUACUGGGCGUAAAGCGUGCGCAGGCGGUUUGCUAAGAGAGAUGUGAAAUCCCCGGGCUUAACCUGGGAACUGCGUUUCUAACUGGCAGGCUUGAGUGUGGCAGAGGGGGGUGGAAUUCCACGUGUAGCAGUGAAAUGCGUAGAUAUCGAGAGGAACACCGGUGGCGAAGGCGGCCAACUGGACAGAUACUGACGCUGAGGCGCGAAAGCUAGGGGAGCAAACGGG